rnacentral:tRNA from 1 species
GUGCUGGGGCUCAGUGGCAGAGGGCUCGCCUAGCACGUGUGAGGCCCUGGGUUGGAUCCUCAGCACCACA